rnacentral:rRNA from 1 species
UACGUAGGGUGCGAGCGUUGUCCGGAAUUAUUGGGCGUAAAGAGCUCGUAGGCGGCUUGUUGCGUCGACCGUGAAAACCCGUGGCUCAACUGCGGGCUUGCGGUCGAUACGGGCGGGCUAGAGUUCGGUAGGGGAGACUGGAAUUCCUGGUGUAGCGGUGAAAUGCGUAGAUAUCGUAAGGAAGACCAGUGGCGAAGGCGGGUCUCUGGACAGUUCCUAGGACGCUGAGG